CUUGAAGAGACUAUCGAUGCAGUGGUAGCAACCCUUGAAGUGACUUUUGAUGUUGAGUUAGAGGUGGCAUCACUAGCUGUGACUGUCAAUGUAGUUGAGGGAGAGAUCACAUCACUUAAAGUGACUGUCGAUGUAGUGGUAGCAUCAUUUGAAGUGACUGUUGAUGUAGUGGUGGAAUCACUUGAGGUGACUGUUGAUGUCGAGGGAGAGGUGGCAUCACUUGAAGUAACUGUUAGUGUCGAGGGAGUGGUGGCAUCACUUGAAGUGACUGUUGAUGUCGAGGGAGAGGUGGCAUUUCUUGAAGUGACUGUUGAUGUCGAGGUAGUGGUGGCAUCGCUUGAAGGGACUGUCGAUGUAGUGGUAGCAUCACUUGAAGUGACUGUUGAUGUAUUGGUGGCAUUUCUUGAAGUGACUGUUAAUGCCGAGGUAGUGGUGGGAUCAAUUGAAGGGACUGUCGAUGUAGUGGUGGGAUCACUUGAAGUGACUGUUGAUGUAGUGGUGGCAUCACUUGAAGUGACUGUUAAAGUCGAAGGAGUGGAGGGAUCACUUGUAGAGACUGUCGAUGUAUUGGUGGCAUUUCUUGAAGUGACUGUUAAUGCCGAGGUAGUGGUGGGAUCAAUUGAAGGGACUGUCGAUGUAGUGGUGGGAUCACUUGAAGUGACUGUUAAAGUUGAAGGAGUGGAGGCAUCACUUGAAGAGACUGUCGGUGUAGUGGUAGCAUCACUUGAUGUGACUGUCAAUGUAGUGGUAGCAUCACUUGAAGUGACUGUUGAUGUAUUGGUGGCAUCACUUAAAGUGACUGUUGAUGUCGAGGAAGAGGUGGCAUUUCUUGAAGUGACUUUUAAUGUCGAGGGAGUGGUGGCAUCACUUGAAAAUACAGUUGAUGUCGAGGGAGAGGUGGUAUCACUUGAAGAGACAACUGAUGUAGGCGAGGAAGCGGUUGGAUCACUUGAAGUGACUGUUGAUGUCCAGGUAAAGGUGGCAUCACCUGAAGUGACUGUUGAUGUCAAAGGAGAGGUGGCAUCACUUGAAGUGAAUGUUAAUGUCGAGGGAGAGGUGGCAUCACUUGAAGAGAUAAUUGAUGUAGGCGAGGAAGCGGUGGGAUCACUUGAAGUGACUGUUGAUGUCCAGGUAAAGGUGGCAUCACCUGAAGUGACUGUUGAUGUCAAAGGAGAUGUGGCAUCACUUGAAGAUACUGACGAUGUAGUGGUAGCAUCACUUGAACUGACUGUUGUUGUCGUGGUAGUAUCACUUGAACUGACUGUUGAUGUUGACUUAGAGGUGGCUUUACUUGGCGUGACUGUAGAUGUAGUUGAGGGUGAGGUUGCAUCACUUGAAGUGACUGUUGAUGUCGAGGUAGUGGUGGGAUCACUUGAAGGGACUGUCAAUGUAGUAGUAGCAUCACUUGAAGUGACUGUUGAUGUAGUGGUGGCAUCACUUGAAGUGACUGUUGAAGUCGAAGGAGUGGAGGCAUCACUUGAAGAGACUGUCAAUGUAGCGGUAGCAUCACUUGAAGUGACUGUUGAUGUAGUUGAGGAAGCGGUGGCAUCACUUGAUGUCCAGUAA
ensembl:lncRNA